ACGAACGCUGGCGGCGUGCUUAACACAUGCAAGUCGAACGGAAAGGCCCCUUUGGGGGUACUCGAGUGGCGAACGGGUGAGUAACACGUGAGUAACCUGCCCUUGACUUCGGGAUAACUUCAGGAAACUGGGGCUAAUACCGGAUAGGAAUCCUUGCUGCAUGGUGGGGGUUGGAAAGCUUCGGCGGUUUUGGAUGGACUCGCGGCUUAUCAGCUUGUUGGUGGGGUAGUGGCUUACCAAGGCUUUGACGGGUAGCCGGCCUGAGAGGUCGACCGGCCACAUUGGGACUGAGAUACGGCCCAGACUCCUACGGGAGGCAGCAGUGGGGAAUAUUGCACAAUGGGCGGAAGCCUGAUGCAGCAACGCCGCGUGCGGGAUGACGGCCUUCGGGUUGUAAACCGCUUUCAGCAGGGGCGAAGCUUGUGGUGACGGUACCUGCAGAAGAAGCACCGGCUAACUACGUG
rnacentral:rRNA from 1 species